ensembl:lncRNA novel transcript
AAACGGGGAGUCGGAGAAGUGCGCAGCAGCCGCGGCAGCUCCGCGACGCUCCCUUUGGCUACUCCUUCGCGCACUCUAACUCACUCACUCUUUUUUGGAUUUCGUCAUCUUUUCAAAAAAUCAAUAAAAAUAUUCUGGAGGCUCCGGGGGUCCACUUCUUGGUCUCAUCCGGAUCCCCAGAUCCUCCUCUAUCA